rnacentral:lncRNA from 1 species
GGGCAAGAGAUAAUUGCUUUCUACGUAUGUUUUCAGGAGUACUGCAAAGUGACAGUGACUGAAAUUAUAGAAAAACUAUCUUAAGAACACGGACAAAUUAAAGCCAACAAGAUGUUAGUGGCACUCUUAGGGAAGUAGCGUCCCCCAGACCCAACUCCUUCAGAGGUUCUCAGGGAAGAAUGCUACGGGAAAAUGUUGAACUGAUAAAAAGUUGUCACUCUAGGGAUGACAAAUGGCUGAUGUCACUUGGAGGGCUGUACUUCUGCACGCAUCAUGAGAAGUUUGGGAACACGGUGCUAAUUGAAAACCUUUCAGAGGAACUCAGUCGCACUCUAUAGUCUGCAAAGCU